rnacentral:rRNA from 2 species
AUUGAACGCUGGCGGCAUGCCUUACACAUGCAAGUCGAACGGCAGCGCGGGGCAACCUGGCGGCGAGUGGCGAACGGGUGAGUAAUAUAUCGGAACGUACCCUGGAGUGGGGGAUAACGUAGCGAAAGUUACGCUAAUACCGCAUACGAUCUAAGGAUGAAAGUGGGGGAUCGCAAGACCUCAUGCUCCUGGAGCGGCCGAUAUCUGAUUAGCUAGUUGGUGGGGUAAAGGCCUACCAAGGCAUCGAUCAGUAGCUGGUCUGAGAGGACGACCAGCCACACUGGAACUGAGACACGGUCCAGACUCCUACGGGAGGCAGCAGUGGGGAAUUUUGGACAAUGGGCGAAAGCCUGAUCCAGCAAUGCCGCGUGAGUGAAGAAGGCCUUCGGGUUGUAAAGCUCUUUUGUCAGGGAAGAAACGGUGAGGGCUAAUAUCCCUUGCUAAUGACGGUACCUGAAGAAUAAGCACCGGCUAACUACGUGC